UGUCACGACCGUCCCCAGAUGCCCCUCAACCCAGGAGACGACGCCGCCGCGGCGCAGUCCGCAGCCCCCCUGUCUGAGGCGUCCGCGGCCCGGAUCCGGCCCCUCCCCUUCCCUCCCAGGUGUGGGCCGGGCAGGCGGCCGCGGCAGACUUUAUCAUGUGGGCAACCUGCUGCAACUGGUUCUGCCUGGAUGGACAGCCUGAGGAGGUCCCACCACCCCAGGGAGCCAGGACGCAAGCCUAUUCCAACCCUGGGUACAGCUCCUUCCCUUCUCCAACAGGCUCAGAACCGAGCUGCAAGGCCUGUGGGGCCCACUUUGCAAACACGGCCAGGAAGCAGACCUGCCUGGACUGUAAGAAAAAUUUCUGCAUGACCUGUUCGACCCAAGUGGGGAAUGGGCCCCGCCUCUGCCUUCUCUGCCAACGGUUCCGAGCCACAGCCUUUCAGCGGGAGGAGCUCAUGAAGAUGAAGGUGAAGGACCUGAGGGACUAUCUCAGCCUCCAUGACAUCUCUACCGAAAUGUGCCGGGAGAAAGAAGAGCUGGUGUUCUUGGUGCUUGGCCAGCAGCCUGUAAUCUCCCAGGAGGGCAGGACUCAUGCCCCCACCUUUUCCCCAGACUUCCCUGAGCAGCAGGUCUUCCUGACCCAGCCUCACACCAGCACAGUACUUCCUACCUCACCCAAUCUCACUCCUUCACCUGCACAAGCCACCUCUGUUCCUCCAGCCCAGGCUCAGGAAAACCAGCAGGCUAAUGGCCGUGUGUCUCAGGACCAAGAAGAACCCAUCUACCUAGAGAGCACAGCCAGAGCACCUGCUGAGGAGGAGACCCAGUCUGUCGACUCAGAGGACAGCUUUGUCCCAGGCCGGAGGGCCUCUCUGUCUGACCUGACUGACCUGGAGGACAUUGAAGGCCUGACGGUGCGGCAGCUGAAAGAGAUCCUCGCUCGCAACUUCGUCAACUACAAGGGCUGCUGUGAGAAGUGGGAGCUGAUGGAAAGGGUGACGCGGCUAUACAAGGACCAGAAAGGACUCCAGCACCUGGUGUGUGGUGCUGAAAACCAAAACGGAGCGGUACCAUCUGGCCUGGAGGAGAACCUGUUGGAAUUGGGGAAGGAGAAGACAGAGGACAUGUGAACAAGACAGAUGCCCAAGGUUCCAAGGCCAGGACAGUGGGGUGGAGGACACAUAUGGAACCUAAGAGCUGGCACCUUGAGUUGCGGGAGAUCAGUGGCAGACUUCCAGUCCUUAUCGUCACGGAUUCGGGUGCAGCGAGGAAACCGGAUGGAGAUACCAUCAGCUGUGUGAGCCUCAGAUUUGGAGAAUUCAGCCCCUGUGAUCUCCCACACGGCAGCUUUCUGUCAGAAUUCCUUCUGCAGGCGGGCGAGCGUUGCAUCAUCAUGGCCUCCUGCGCACUUGGUGACUGUGCACCACUUCUGGCUGCUCGGGUCAUAGCAGCCCAUGAGGAAGAUGGAC